rnacentral:sRNA from 1 species
AACCUAGGACCUUAACCUACAUCUAACC